UACUUUUACGGUGUGGGUGCCAAGGGGCUU
rnacentral:piRNA from 1 species